GCUCAAAUUUGAAAUCUUAAAGGGUUUCCCUUUACGAAUUGUAGUUUAAAGAAGUGUUUUCUGUUGAGGUUUUGCUAAAAGUUCUUUGGAAUAGGACAUCAUAGAGGGUGAGAAUCCCGUAUUUGACCUUUACUUUCAACUUUGUGAUACACUUUCAAAGAGUCGGAUUGUUUGGGAAUGCAGUCCAAAAUGGGUGGUAAAUUUCAUCUAAAGCUAAAUAUUGGCGAGAGACCGAUAGCGAACAAGUACCGUGAGGGAAAGAUGAAAAGAACUUUGAAGAGAGAGUUAAACAGUACGUGAAAUUGUCAAAAGGGAAGCGUUUGACACCAGUGUUGCUUUUCUGAAAAUCAAUUAAAGAACUGUUUACGCUAAGUUGUUUAGACUUUAUCAGCUAACUGUUUAGUUUUGAGCUUUUCUUUAAUGCACUUUUCAGUUAACAAG
rnacentral:rRNA from 1 species